rnacentral:tRNA from 1 species
GACUCCGUGGGCAAUGGUACCGCGUCUGACUCCAGAUCAGAAGGUUGCGUGUUCAAAUCACGUCGGGGUCA